rfam:Triticum aestivum genome assembly, contig: Triticum_aestivum_CS42_TGACv1_scaffold_320862_4BL
GUGCUACUCCCUCCGUCCGGAAAAGAUUGUCCCAAGCUUGUAUUUCAAAUGGAUGUAUCUAGCACUAAUUUUAUGCUAGAUACAUUCAUUGGAGGGACAAGUUUUUUCGGAUGGAGGGAGUACAAA